CCAAUAGCGUAUAUUAAAGUUGUUGCAGUUAAAAAGCUCGUAGUUGAAUUUCGGGGUUAGUAGGUUGGUCAUGCCUCUGGUAUGUACUGGUCUCACUGAUUCCUCCUUCCUGAUGAACCUUAAUGCCAUUUAUUUGGUGUUUUGAGGAAUUUGGACUGUUACUUUGAAAAAAUUAGAGUGUUUAAAGCAAGCUAACGCUUGAAUACAUUAGCAUGGAAUAAUGAAAUAGGACGUUCGAUCCUAUUUUGUUGGUUUCUAGGAUUGACGUAAUGAUUAAUAGGGAUAGUUGGGGGCAUUAGUAUUCAAUUGUCAGAGGUGAAAUUCUUGGAUUGAUUGAAGACUAACUACUGAGAAAGCAUUUGCCAAGGAUGUUUUCAUUAAUCAAGAACGAAAGUUAGGGGAUCGAAGACGAUCAGAUACCGUCGUAGUCUUAACCAUAAACUAUGCCGACUAGGGAUCGGAUGAUGUUAAUUUUUUAAUGACUCAUUCGGCGCCUUACG
rnacentral:rRNA from 1 species